AUGCCUCAGUAACGGCGAGUGAGCGGCAAAGCUCAAAUUUGAAAUCUAGCACUUUCAGUGUUCGAGUUGGUAAUUUGAAGAAGGUAACUUUGGUUUUGGCUCUUGUCUAUGUUCCUUGGAACAGGACGUCACAGAGGGUGAGAAUCCCGUGCGAUGAGAUGCCCAAUUCCAUGUAAAGUGCUUUCGAAGAGUCGAGUUGUUUGGGAAUGCAGCUCUAAGUGGGUGGUAAAUUCCAUCUAAAGCUAAAUAUUGGCGAGAGACCGAUAGCGAACAAGUACAGUGAUGGAAAGAUGAAAAGAACUUUGAAAAGAGAGUGAAAAAGUACGUGAAAUUGUUGAAAGGGAAGGGCUUGAGAUCAGACUUGGUAUUUUGCGUUCCCUUCCUUUUUGGUUGGGUUCCUCGCAGUUUACUGGGCCAGCAUCGGUUUGGAUGGUAGGAUAAUGACAUUGGAAUGUAGCUUUACUUCGGUGAAGUGUUAUAGACUUUGUUGAUACUGCCUAUCUAGACCGAGGACUGCGUCUUUGACUAGGAUGCUGGCGUAAUGAUCUUAAGCCGCCCGUCUC
rnacentral:rRNA from 1 species